GACGAACGCUGGCGGCGCGCCUAACACAUGCAAGUCGAACGGAGCGGCGAGAAGCUUGCUUUUCUUAGCUUAGGGGCGAACGGGUGAGUAACGCGUGAGUAACCUGCCCUGGAGUGGGGGACAACAGUUGGAAACGACUGCUAAUACCGCAUAAGCCCACGAUCUGUCAUCGGAUUUGGGGAAAAGGAGUUAUUCGCGUCAGAAUGGACGCGCGUCCGAUUAGCGAGUUGGUGAGGUAACGGCACACCAAGGCGACGAUUGGUAGCCGGACUGAGAGGUUGAACGGCCACAUCGGGACUGCGACACGGACUCGAAUCGUACGGGAGGCAGCAGUGGGUGAUACUGCAGACGGGGGGAAAAUCUGAUGAAGCGACGUCGCGUGGAGGAAGAAGGUUUUUGGAUUGUAAACUCCUGUCGUUAGGGACGAUAAUGACGGUACCUAACAAGAAAGCACCGGCUAACUACGUG
rnacentral:rRNA from 1 species